AACAGCUCAAAUUUGAAAUCUGGCCCCCAGGCCCGAGUUGUAAUUUGUAGAGGAAGCUUCUGGCGAGGUACCUGCUGAGUCCCCUGGAACGGGGCGCCAUAGAGGGUGAGAGCCCCGUAUAGCAGUGUGCCGACCCUGUGUGAAGCUCCUUCGACGAGUCGAGUAGUUUGGGAAUGCUGCUCUAAAUGGGAGGUAAAUUUCUUCUAAAGCUAAAUAUUGGCCAGAGACCGAUAGCGCACAAGUAGAGUGAUCGAAAGAUGAAAAGCACUUUGAAAAGAGGGUUAAAUAGCACGUGAAAUUGUUGAAAGGGAAGCGCUUGUGACCAGACUUGCGCCCGGCGGAUCAUCCGGCGUUCUCGCCGGUGCACUCCGCCGGGCUCAGGCCAGCAUCGGUUCCCGCGGGGGGAUAAAGGCUCGGGGCACGUGGCUCCUCCGGGAGUGUUAUAGCCCCUUGUGCAAUGCCCUCGUGGGGACCGAGGUUCGCGCAUCUGCAAGGAUGCUGGCGUAAUGGUCAUCAGCGACCCGUCUUGAAACACGGACCAAGGAGUCAAGGUUUUGCGCGAGUGUUUGGGUGUAAAACCCGCACGCGUAAUGAAAGUGAACGUAGGUGAGAGCUUCGGCGCAUCAUCGACCGAUCCUGAUGUAUUCGGAUGGAUUUGAGUAAGAGCGUUAAGCCUUGGACCCGAAAGAUGGUGAACUAUGCUUGGAUAGGGUGAAGCCAGAGGAAACUCUGGUGGAGGCUCGCAGCGGUUCUGACGUGCAAAUCGAUCGUCAAAUCUGAGCAUGGGGGCGAAAGACUAAUCGAACCAUCUAGUAGCUGGUUACCGCCGAAGUUUCCCUCAGGAUAGCAGUGUUGUUCUUCAGUUUUAUGAGGUAAAGCGAAUGAUUAGGGACUCGGGGGCGCUAUAUAGCCUUCAUCCAUUCUCAAACUUUAAAUAUGUAAGAAGCCCUUGUUACUUAAUUGAACGUGGGCAUUCGAAUGUACCAACACUAGUGGGCCAUUUUUGGUAAGCAGAACUGGCGAUGCGGGAUGAACCGAACGCGGGGUUAAGGUGCCAGAGUGGACGCUCAUCAGACACCACAAAAGGCGUUAGUACAUCUUGACAGCAGGACGGUGGCCAUGGAAGUCGGAAUCCGCUAAGGACUGUGUAACAACUCACCUGCCGAAUGUACUAGCCCUGAAAAUGGAUGGCGCUCAAGCGUCCCACCCAUACCCCGCCCUCA
rnacentral:rRNA from 1 species